CACGGCGCACGGGUGCGUAACACGUGGGUAACCUGCCCUUCGGUGGGGAAUAACCCCACGAAAGCGGGGCUGAUUCCGCAUGACAUUCCGGGGACACAUGUCCUCGGACUCAAAGGAGUGAUUCGCCGGAGGAGGGGCCCGCGCCCGAUUAGCUUGUUGGUAGGGUAACGGCCUACCAAGGCUUUGAUCGGUAGCCGGUCUGAGAGGAUGGCCGGCCACACUGGAACUGAGACACGGUCCAGACUCCUACGGGAGGCAGCAGUGGGGAAUCUUGCGCAAUGGGCGAAAGCCUGACGCAGCGACGCCGCGUGGGGGAUGAAGCUUCUCGGAGUGUAAACCCCUUUCGACCCGGACGAAUAGCCCGCAAGGGACUUGACGGUACGGGUAGAAGAAGCCCCGGCUAACUACGUGCCAGCAGCCGCGGUAAGACGUGGGGGGCCAGCGUUGCUCGGAAUUACUGGGCGUAAAGGGUCCGUAGGCGGUGCGGCAAGUCGGGGGGUGAAAUCUCUGGGCUUAACCCAGAGGCUGCCUCCGAAACUGCCGUGCUCGAGUGCGGGAGAGGCGAGCGGAAUUGCAGGUGUAGCGGUGAAAUGCGUAGAUUAUCUGCAGGAACCACCCGUGGCGAAGGCGGCUCGCUGGACCGUGACUGACGCUGAGGGACGAAAGCUAGGGGAGCAAACAGGAUUAGAUACCCUGGUAGUCCUAGCCAUAAACGAUCAGGACUUGGGGUGGCCCGCGUCCGCGGGUCGUCCCGGAGCUAACGCGAUAAGUCCUGCGCCUGGGGAGUACGGUCGCAAGACUGAAACUCAAAGGAAUUGACGGGGGCCCGCACAAGCGGUGGAACAUGUGGUUCAAUUCGACGCUACGCGAGGAACCUUACCUGGGCUCGAAAUGCUUCUGACCAGCUGUGGAAACACGGCCUUCCCGCAAGGGACAGGAGUAUAGGCGCUGCAUGGCUGUCGUCAGCUCGUGCCGUGAGGUGUUGGGUUAAGUCCCGCAACGAGCGCAACCCCUGCACGUAGUUACUACCCGCAAGGGAGGACU
rnacentral:rRNA from 1 species